rnacentral:rRNA from 1 species
UACGGAGGGUGCGAGCGUUGUCCGGAAUCACUGGGCGUAAAGGGCGCGUAGGUGGCGCGGGCAUUCAACGGUGAAAGCUCGGGGCUCAACCCCGAGUCGGCCGUCGAUACUCCCGUGCUUGAGCACUGUAGAGGCAGAUGGAAUUCCGGGUGUAGCGGUGGAAUGCGUAGAGAUCCGGAAGAACACCGGUGGCGAAGGCGGUCUGCUGGGCAGUAGCUGACACUGAGGCGCGACAGCGUGGGGAGCAAACAGG